UAAUAAUUUGUAUCAGAUUUUGUAGCGGCUAUAUUGGUUGGAUGAAAAGGAGAAGUACAUCUGGAAUAUUAUGUAAUAAGCGUGUAUCUUGGAGACCUAAAGAAAAUUUUAUAUACUAACAGUAAGGCCUGUCAUGUUGUAUGGGUCAGAGUGUUGGGCAAUUAAGAAAGUAUAUGAAAAUAAGUGAGUAUAGCAUAAAUGAGAAUGCUAAGAUGGAUAUAUGGUAAAACUAAAAAAGAUAAAAUAACAAUUAAAUAUAUUAGAGGAACGGUAGGAAUUGCAUAAGUUAAUAAAAUCGAUUGAGAUGGUAAUGGACAUGAAUAACGAAGAUGCGAGGAGAUAUAAUAAGAAAAGUACUUCGGUUUGUGCCGAAGACAAUAUGAAAAGGAGGAGAAGACCUUAGGCAACAUGGAUGAAGGUUGUGAGGAAGGAUCUGGAGAUCCUAAAAUAAACAUGAGAUGUGGCCUUAAAUAGGAAUAUUUGGUAAAUGAGGAUCCAUAAAGUUGACGUUAGGUAGUUGGGAAAAGGCUAGAUGGUUACAGCAGUUUAUGCAGCGGCUACUCUAAUUUGUAUUGCCUAAUGCAACAUUUGAGGGUCUUUGUUGUGUAAGCAACUCAUCUGUUUUCUUUCAACAUUUGCACCAAUAACAUAAUAGCAUAGCCAAUACAACACCAGAGAGUUUCAUGAGAACCAUUCAGAGUCUUGAGGUUAGACUAUUGCCUUGCCACUUUUUUCUGUUUGGAGUUGUAUUUUGAUGCAUUAGGAUAAUAAAAGCCACUCCUACUUACCAUGUUAAUUUCUGAAAAGAGAAU
rnacentral:lncRNA from 1 species